CUUUGGGUCUGUUUGGCCGGUCCGAUUUUUUCGUGUACUGGAAUCCCAAGCGGACCUUUCCUUCUGGCUAACCUUGGGUCCUUGUGGCUCUUGGCGAACCAGGAUUUUUACUUUGAAAAAAUUAGAGUGUUCAAAGCAGGCGUAUUGCUCGAAUAUAUUAGCAUGGAAUAAUAGAAUAGGACGUUUGGUUCUAUUUUGUUGGUUUCUAGGACCAUCGUAAUGAUUAAUAGGGACGGUCGGGGGCAUCAGUAUUCAAUUGUCAGAGGUGAAAUUCUUGGAUUUAUUGAAGACUAACUACUGCGAAAGCAUUUGCCAAGGACGUUUUCAUUAAUCAAGAACGAAAGUUAGGGGAUCGAAGAUGAUCAGAUACCGUCGUAGUCUUAACCAUAAACUAUGCCGACUAGGGAUCGGGUGGUGUUUUUUUAAUGACCCACUCGGCACCUUACGGGAAAUCAAAGUCUUUGGGUUCUGGGGGGAGUAUGGUCGCAAGGCUGAAACUUAAAGGAAUUGACGGAAGGGCACCACCAGGAGUGGAGCCUGCGGCUUAAUUUGACUCAACACGGGGAAACUCACCAGGUCCAGACACAAUAAGGAUUGACAGAUUGAGAGCUCUUUCUUGAUUUUGUGGGUGGUGGUGCAUGGCCGUUCUUAGUUGGUGGAGUGAUUUGUCUGCUUAAUUGCGAUAACGAACGAGACCUUAACCUACUAAAUAGUGGUGCUAGCAUUUGCUGGUUGUCCGCUUCUUAGAGGGACUAUCGGUUUCAAGCCGAUGGAAGUUUGAGGCAAUAACAGGUCUGUGAUGCCCUUAGACGUUCUGGGCCGCACGCGCGCUACACUGACGGAGCCAGCGAGUCUAACCUUGGCCGAGAGGUCUUGGUAAUCUUGUGAAACUCCGUCGUGCUGGGGAUAGAGCAUUGUAAUUAUUGCUCUUCAACGAGGAAUUCCUAGUAAGCGCAAGUCAUCAGCUUGCGUUGAUUACGUCCCUGCCCUUUGUACACACCGCCC
rnacentral:rRNA from 1 species